GGCAUCAAGUUCAUCAAAGAAAAUAAUGGAAGGAGCCACUGCUCUUGCUUUUCGGAAGAUCUGGUGGAAAGAGAACUACAUCAGUCAAAGAGGAAUAUUUGCCUGAAGAAAAACACAUGCCACUAGAAUCCAGAUUUGGUGAUCUCAAAGAAUGUUACACAAAAUGAAAUGGAAGACAGAGAAGAACAGAAGUGUGGUUCUCCUAUGCAGAGUGUCAUUUAAGAACUGAGAAAAGAUGAAGAAAUAUGGACAACAAAAAAAUGAAAAAUGUAAGAACAGAGAGAAGAGACAGGAUCCUCUGACUGGUUCUAAUACCUUUCACAAGUUUCUUAAAGUUUAAGCCAACUACACAGAGUAACACAUAACCAAAUGCCCCAAAAGUGUUUUAUUUUUUAAAAAAAGGAAA